rnacentral:rRNA from 1 species
GACAGAGGGUGCAAACGUUGUUCGGAAUUACUGGGCGUAAAGCGCGUGUAGGCGGCCCUGCAAGUCGGAUGUGAAAUCCCACGGCUCAACCGUGGAAGUGCAUUCGAAACUGCAGGGCUAGAGUCCUGGAGAGGAAGGUGGAAUGCUUGGUGUAGAGGUGAAAUUCGUAGAUAUUCGCAAGAACACCAGUGGCGAAGGCGGACUCUCUGGGCCCGUUACGUGACGCUGAGGUGCGAAAAGCGUGGGGAGCAGAGGAGUA